CUACGGGAGGCAGCAGUGAGGAAUAUUGGUCAAUGGGCGCAAGCCUGAACCAGCCAUCCCGCGUGAAGGAAGAAGGCGCUAUGCGUUGUAAACUUCUUUUUCAGGGGAAGAAAAUUUUCUACGAGUAGAGAAUUGACGGUACCCUGUGAAUAAGCAUCGGCUAACUCCGUGCCAGCAGCCGCGGUAAUACGGAGGAUGCGAGCGUUAUCCGGAUUUAUUGGGUUUAAAGGGUGCGUAGGCGGAUUGGUAAGUCAGUGGUGAAAUCCUGCAGCUUAACUGUAGAAUUGCCGUUGAUACUGUCAGUCUUGAGUACGGUCAAGGUAGGCGGAAUGUGUAAUGUAGCGGUGAAAUGCUUAGAUAUUACACAGAACACCAAUUGCGAAGGCAGCUUACUGGGCCACAACUGACGCUGAGGCACGAAAGCGUGGGGAGCGAACAGGAUUAGAUACCCCGGUAGG
rnacentral:rRNA from 1 species